GCAAUGCUUGAGACAUUUCUAUUAACUGAAACCUUGAACUAUCUCAAGUAAAAUAUUUAAAGGAAUGAAGAUGUUUUAGACUAAAGAAAACCAAAGCACUUAUCGUUGAGAAGGAUAGAUUCUUCUCCUUCCCUUCUCCACACAAAUAUCAUCAAAAUGUUACCGAACUCAGGUUUGGCUACUGGCCACUCAAAAGCCAAUAAUUCGAGAAGCAAGUGUCAGUAGAAAGGAAAGGUGCUUUAAUCAGAGAAGCCGGCAACCUGAGAAGGUGGUGGAUUCAUGUCCCGAGACCAACUCCAAAGUCUUAAUUGAUGAUCAGAAAAUCUCUUAUAAGGAAUAAGUUGGAAAAGAAACCUUUAUUUUGAUCAGGUCGUUUCAUAAAAUUUUAUUAUGUCACCAUAAUGCUAUUAAUUCAGGUAUUCAAGACCACUGGUAAUAAAUUUAUUAAACGUCCGGCUAUGUUACGAAGUUAAAGUGUUGGUAGCUUUUUGGGUCCAUGAUAGUGCCUUCAGCGUCGCCUUUCUCAGAAAAAUAUUUGAUGGACAAUAUUGACCUCUUGGAACUCGAUAUAUUUCCAAUAUCUGAGGCCAGUUUGAAAUUAUUUUCCCCCAAAUGGGGUUACAGAAUGAAGAAGUCCAUGUCAGUUAGCAAAUUUCUUGAAAGCUGACUUUGUAUAUCUGUCCCUCAGGAACUGGAGUGAAUGUCCUUUUCCUAGAGGCCAUAAAGGCAGCCUCCACACAUCCAAUGCCAGGUGACGAUGAUGCAUGAAUAUGACUAGCACAGAAGGGUCGGAAGCAAAGCUAUAAAUGAGAAGUCAGGGAGAUGUUGCCUUCGUUCUGAGAAGAGAACGUUCUGAGAAGGAGAACUCUUCAGCUGUGCCUGAGAAUAGCAAAAGUACCUUUGAUGAGCAUUCAUGAUUGUUGAAAAUGGGGAAAGCAGAGACGGAAGCAGCAGCAGAAGACCUCUGAGAGACAAAGGUGCACCGAAACUACACCCACAGCUGCCUGCAGAGAUUUGCUUAAGUACAGAUGAGGAAACUGAAGCUUGUAGAAGUUAAAUAACUUUCCCAAACAAAGUGGCAGAAGCAAGAUUUUAAAGCCUGGCCUUUGUUUUCAAGAAUCCUGAGCCCCUGGAGAAAUUUAUACCAGGGCAGGAGACCAGCGCCUCUGAGCACGAAGGAAAGAGCUGCAGAGAUACCCGACUGUAAUCGCAGAGUCCACAACCUUGUCAAAGGCGCUGAGUGGCUCCGAAGCAUGGAAGCUGACCCUUGGGGACCACGUGGGGCUGGAACAUGAACGUGUUUGAGGCAUCCGGAAUCGGUGGAGCAUCCCCGUGUGGUCAGUUCUGGGUCCUCUUUUUGAGGGAAGUCAGAUCAUGGAAGAGGUCCUGCUACACUGAGACAACACACAUUGGAGGGGCAUCUUUGGGAGCAUCCAGAGACAGAGCCCCAGCUCCAUUCCCAGCCAACAGCCAGUCUCCAGCGCAGCUACGUGAGUUACCCUCUGGGACAUCUUGGCCAGCUGAGCCCCCAGAGGACUGCCGCCCUGGCUGACCUCCAGACCAUGACUGCAUCAGAGUCCCAGGUGAGAUAAGCCUAGCCCAGCCCUGCCCAGACCCCUGACACACAAAGUCAUGACAAAAUAAAAUGAAACGCCUCUAAGU